UGUUACUAUAAAAGCUGAGUAUAUAUGGCAUUCCCUUCAGUAAAUAUGUGUCCUUAAUUGAAGGAGUGUUUUCGAUUUUAUUGUAGACGUUCUGUCGCCCCCUCCCCCACAGAUGGCGGGCAAGGUUGUUACUCUAUUUGAGCCGAAGGAUGUUUACACAUUCAUAAUUGCUUUUUAUGUCCUAUGGUUGCUCGAAAGAGGAGGGAUGAUCAUACUUUUAUCUUUAAGAGUGAUCUUUAUUCUGUUAUGGUGAGUUUUGAUUACGGGGUUUAGAAUUGGCUAUCCCAAAUAGCCAAUUGGUGUGACCUCUUAUAGCAAAUGGACCAUCACCACCAAAUGGUUUGUUUGCAGGAGUAAAUAUUUGUUGUAGUUUUAAUCGAUCUACAGUUUCCAUUCUUAUUUUCUUCAAAAAAAGUCCCGUAUUUAAAGUCGUUACAUGUUGGCCUCUGCUUAAUCUUGUGCAGCUGAAAAGGACACAACGUAAGAUUCUAUUUUUGUUUGAUUCUAAGUCUCUAACUAUGUUGUAUAUUGAAAAGAAUUGAGGUUAGGAGUCCUGCCAUUGGAGAAGCUAUUGCAUUGGGAGCAGCAGUACAUUAUCUAUCACAAUUCGGCAUGCCGAGGAUUCAUGAGUAUGAGAAAGAGUUGGGGAUGUAUCUUUACGAGACAUAUCCAUGCGAGACUAGAUAUGAAUUCAACGAAGCUAAGCAGUUCCUUGGGUACUAUGGGUUAGAUGAAGAUGAAUUGAUCCGUUGAGACUGAGGUCUACGACAAUGACUCUGACGGACUGCCUAUGAAUUAUCAAGAAAGUUUUUCUUGUAUGCUAGCUACUCCGUACUUAUGAUGUUUCGUUAUGCGUAGUGAUCUCUGUGAUAAUCAUGUCAUUAAAGUUUGAUGUUUCGUCUUACACUAUAUAUAUGUAAAUAAUGGAGCAGCUAGCUCUGCUAUGAACUCACAUGGCACUACUCCUAUCUUAGAACCAUAUAUUUGUACCUAUAUGUAAUGUAUUUUUCCUUCUUUCGGCACAAA